UCCGAGAAAUAUUAAAUUGAGGAGGUGAU
rnacentral:piRNA from 1 species